rnacentral:lncRNA from 1 species
GAGCAUCUCCAGUGCGGGCCUUGGAGAGCCGGCACGAGCCAUUUUUUAGGACGCACCGAGUGUUGAAGAGCUGCGGCGGUGCUUACCCGGUGUUGUGGGGAGAACCAGGGGUGUAGGAGGGAGGUGGAAGGAGCGUCCGAGGGAUGCGCGAAAUAAAAAAAAAUGAAAAAGUUGCAGAUAAACUGGGGGAAGAAGAAGAGAAAUGGGAGAAAAUGUGAGGCGGUGGGGGAAGGAAAAAGGAGAAAAAGAAGAGAAAGUGGGAGUUUGGGCCAUGGGGUUUAGGUAGAAUUUUUUUAUUUUUGUAUUUUGAUUUUAGUUUUUUUAAAUUUUAAAAUUCUAUUUUUUUUAAUUCUUUUAGUUUUUUUACCUACUUUUUAAUUAUUGUAAUAUUUUUAAUUUUAAAAUUUUGUAUUUUAUUUUAACUAUUGUAAUGUUGAAUUUUAUUUUUAAUGAAAAAUAGAAUUUUAAAAUAGAACUGUAAACAUGAGAUUAAAUGAAAAUGAAGAUUUAAGAGCCUCUUAUAGCGCCUUUGCUCUGGAGAUGGG